CCAGCCACCACCGCUACCGUAGCAACAGCGGCAUGCUAAUUUAGCUCAGCGCUGCUUAAACUGCAAACCCUGUCAGCAUCCCGGAUCCAGCAAACAUUUAUAAAGAGUUUCGGGCAGUUUUAAACUCGGAGGGGACAAAACUUAUAUCCGGGAUGUGCUCCGUGGUCGGAUGUGAUUCGCUUCGUCGCAGUGCGCAACGGUUCAAGUUACCGGAGGACCCGGAGAGGAGGCUGGAGUGGGUUCAGUUUCUGGCCACAGUCAAUAAACAGCGAUUUAAAGAGUCAUCGUGGACUGACAUCACUAUCUGUCGGGAACACUUUGACGAUGACUGCUUCGUACAGCUCACUGACAGCGUGCAGCUGAAGCCUGGUUCUGUUCCAACAGUGUGUCCACAGUCAGAGGAUCCAGAGCCGAACCUGGGCAGCAGUAAAUGUGAGAUGUUCCUAACACUGACAGGAGUCUGUGGAUAACACAGAAGUUGUUUAUGAACAUGAUCGACUCAGAACAUGUGAUGGCCCAACUGUAUGUUCGGAAGACUCAAGGCCAGCUUCAUCGGCCUCCCAAGAAGGCCUGGCCCCCAGAGACGUCUCAUGUCCAGAUGAUCCCUCAGAUGCAUUCAUAUCUACAUAUAAUCAGAUGCAAGCAAAAAAUGUGGAUAGGGAUUUAAUCAGGAAAAAAGCUGCUCUUCUAAAGAUGGCCGGG
ensembl:lncRNA